CCUACGGGAGGCAGCAGUGAGGAAUAUUGGUCAAUGGACGAGAGUCUGAACCAGCCAAGUCGCGUGAAGGAUGACUGCCCUAUGGGUUGUAAACUUCUUUUAUAAAGGAAUAAAACGAGGCACGUGUGCCUUUUUGCAUGUACUUUAUGAAUAAGGAUAGGCUAACUCCGUUCCAGCAGCCCCGGUAAUACGGAGGAUCCGAGCGUUUUCCGGAUUGGUGGGGGGUAAAGGGAGCGUAGAUGGGUUGUUAAGUCAGUUGUGAAAGUUUGCGGCUCAACCGUAAAAUUGCAAUUGAUACUGGCAGUCUUGAGUACAGUUGAGGUAGGCGGAAUUCGUGGUGUAGCGGUGAAAUGCUUAGAUAUGACGAAGAACCCCGAUGGCGAAGGCAGCUUACUAAACUGUGACUGACAUUGAUGCUCGAAAGUGUGGGGAUCAAACAGGAUUAGAUACCCCUGUAGUC
rnacentral:rRNA from 1 species